ensembl:lncRNA
AUGAGGAGGAGGAUGAGGAGGAGGAGGAAGAAGAGGAAGAUGACGAUGAAGAAGAUGAGGAGGAGGGUGAAGAUGAGGAGGAGGAAAGUGAAGAGCAGGAUGAGGAAGAGAUUACCAAAGAAAAUGAAUGUGACGAGAAAGACAAUGACAAAUACGUUGCCUCUGUCGAAGCCGUCGCUAAUGAAUUUAAAGAGAUACAAAAAAACGUCUGUGCCUGCUGCCCUUAAGACUGUGGACAGCGCUGAUGCUCAAAACACACCUGGAAGUGACGUCCCUCACAGCCACGGCACUAGUCCUGCUGCUGUGAGUGAGGAUCUGGAUGCUGAAACAGAAGCUAAAGUCUGCCCAGCUGGAACAGCGAGUUAUGCAAUGCCAGCAACGUUGGAUGUAGAGGAGGAUUGUGUCGUGUCGGCCAUCAGGGUAGAAUCCAAAUUCUCCGAUGAGGAGGACAGUCAUGGGAAGGAAUGCCCGUGUGUUUCAGCAGGAGGUCACACAAUAUCCAAACAUCACGUGCAGACAUGUUCCCCUCCUGCAGUUGAGGAGGAAGAGUUUGAAACAGAGUUUGGAAUUGAUGCUGACGACUCCUGGAACAGUGGAGAUGAAGAGGAGAAUCAAACUGGGGCACUUGGUUGCAACACAGUACUAGCAAAUCUGAGAAAUGUUGGUCCAGAGGAUGGAGUUGAAAGUACAGAAGGCUCCUCUAAUGCUGGAUCAAACCGAGAUGCUUUCAAAGGGGACAUACGCAGAUCAUCAUGGGGCUCCUCAUUAGAUGACUCCGAUCUACCCAAAGAAGAAGUGGUAAACACGCUUCAUCAGAAACGUGAUGCUGGAUCAUCACAUUUAAAACCAGAAGGAGCAACAAUGCAAUCAAAAAGCUCAAUACCUCGAUCAAACAAAGACCACCUGGAUACCUCAUGGGAUUCUUCAUUCCCAGUGGUACCAUCUCCAAAUUGUGUCUCACCUCACACUGUGAAAGGUGAACCUGUCCCCUCUUUGGGAUUAUGUUCAACCAGCACUCCUCUGUCCAAUAACAGACCAGCUAAAGCAACCGUAGAUGAAUCCGAGUGGGAUUCUUCUUCUGAAAAUAAUGACCCAAACGAUAAUGGCUCCUUCACUAAAGGUGAUUUGCUGUCAUCGCUUUCUAAAACAAAUAUUGCAACCGUCAACCAGACUGGACAGCUGCAAUGUGCUGAUGGCUCUUAUGAAGAAGCAAACAAAGAAAAUGUGGAGAACGAGUCAAAUGGCCGCUCCCAUGUGGUGUCACCAGUAGCUGAGGAUGAAAAAAACACCAGAGGCCAAACACAAGACAACGAUGACGAGGGAUCAAACCGACGGUCAUCACAAACGGAUGGAAAACUAUUCUCCGAGAAGGAGGAGGCCCAUGAUGAGAGUUGGGAUGAGAAAGAUGUCAGUGAUGAAUCAGGGACGUCGAGGCCGAGGAGUGCCAUAAACUGUGAAUCGGAAGAAGAAGAAGACAGUGAAGCUCCUCCAUCCAUGGAGGAUGGAGACGAUGAGUAUCCAAAGGGUGACGGGCUGGAAGAGGAAAGGCUGGCAGGUGUUGAGAAGGACAAUGAGACAAGUGAGGACUCCGACAGCCUGGACCAGAAGCUGCAGUACGACUUUGCCAGCGCAACGGUCAAGGUGGCCGACGACGACGACGAAGAAAAUGAAGCCAGAUUGACUGCUUAUGUUCCUCUAGAAAAUAGAAGUGCCGUCGAUCCCCAGCCAAGGGUUUCAUCAGAUGACCUCGAUGAAGAAGCAGCAUGGGGAAAUGCUUCGUCGAGCCCCGCCACCAAAGGCGGUUUCACUGCCAGUCAGCUCUACGCUUCGGACGGGAGCGCCUGCUCCGAUGAAGCGGUGCCGCGGACCGACAUUGAUGAUGUUGACGUAGACUCGCCCGAUGAGGCAGAGAGCAUAGGCACGAGAAGUCAGAAGGUCAGAAACAUCCAACAGCGUGUGUUUGCUUCCCCUUUCGUUAGAGAUGCCUCUUAUGUCCGUAUACACUGGUAG